AGGUGGUGCAUGGUGUCGUCAGCUCGUGUCGUGAGAUGUUGGUUUAAGUCCGCACCGAGCGCACCCUUAUUACUAGUGCCAUCAUUAAGUUGGGCACUCUAGUGAGACUCCGGUGAUAACCGGAAGAAGGUGGGGAUGACGUCAAAUCAUCAUGCCCUUAUGACCUGGGCUACACACGUGUUCAAUGGAUGGUACAACGAGUCGCCAACCCGCGAGGGUGCGCUAAUCUCUUAAAACCAUUCUCAGUUCGGAUUGCAGGCUGCAACUCGCCUGCAUGAAGUCGGAAUCGCUAGUAAUCGCGGAUCAGCACGCCGCGGUGAAUACGUUCCCGGGCCUUGUACACACCGCCCGUCACACCACGGAAGUUGGGAGUACCCAAAGUAGGUUGCCUAACCGCAAGGAGGGCGCUUCCUAAGGUAAGACCGAUGACUGGGGUGAAGUCGUAACAAGGUAGCCGUAUCGGAAGGUGCGGCUGGAUCACCUCCUUCUAGACUGCAGAA
rnacentral:rRNA from 1 species